rnacentral:rRNA from 1 species
UACGAAGGGGGCAAGCGUUGUUCGGAAUUACUGGGCGUAAAGGGCGCGUAGGCGGUGCUCUAAGUCAGGCGUGAAAGCCCUGGGCUCAACCCGGGAAUUGCGCUUGAUACUGGGGCGCUUGAAUCCAGGAGAGGUUGGUGGAAUUCCCAGUGUAGAGGUGAAAUUCGUAGAGAUCGGGAGGAACACCAGAGGCGAAGGCGGCGACCUGGACAAGUACUGACACUGAACUACGAAAGCGUGGGGAGCAAACAGG